rnacentral:lncRNA from 1 species
CCGCCCCUAAUUCACGCCACAAUUAUCCCCAAUAUUAGAAAUCACCAUUACAUUGAUGAUCCAAGAAUUUGGUGAAUCAAAACCAAAAAAUCUUCAAUACACUACAAUUCAUAUCUCAAUCUGUAAUAACAUUCAGCUCAGAAAGAGUCCAAGCGGAAGUGUUGAAGGCAAAGGAAAUGAUUCAUAUUCAAGAAGUGAUUUUGGUAUGUGAAAUUUUAAUUAUAGUAACUCAAAAGACAUUGAAAUGUUUUUAAUUUUGUAUGUUUGUUCUUAAUGUAUUGUUUAUUCUGAUUUAUUAAAUAUUUUUUGUGAUUCUGUUGAUAGAUUUGAAAACUUCUCUUUUAAAUAUUAUCAACAUACUAAGUUGGUCUUGUGAGUCUUGCUCAUGGUAAAAAAAAUUCAUGCGCAGAUGUUAAAGUCAAAAUUCAAUGAUGAUUGAUGAUGUGUACGUUUUGUCAGUUUUGAUCACAAUGUACAAGAAAUGUCGUGAUCUUUGUUGCUGCCAAAAGAGUGUUUGAUAGGUUUCUGCAUAAAGACAN